UACGUAGGGUGCGAGCGUUGUCCGGAAUUAUUGGGCGUAAAGAGCUCGUAGGCGGUUUGUCGCGUCUGCCGUGAAAGUCCGGGGCUCAACUCCGGAUCUGCGGUGGGUACGGGCAGACUAGAGUGAUGUAGGGGAGACUGGAAUUCCUGGUGUAGCGGUGAAAUGCGCAGAUAUCAGGAGGAACACCGGUGGCGAAGGCGGGUCUCUGGACCGAUACUGACGCUGAGGAGCGAAAGCGUGGGGAGCGAACAGG
rnacentral:rRNA from 1 species